rnacentral:lncRNA from 1 species
CGCUGAAUUCCCUCCUUUGGUCCUUAAAGAACUUCUGUUCUCAGUGAUUGGCCCCGGCGGAGGUAGGCCUAGACUUAAAGGGACUGCGCCCUCCAGGGGCACGCGGGAGGGAAGUGACCUGUGGAGUUUGUAGCGGAGUUGGACCACUAACAAGUUCCAGGGUUCCUUUUGGCGCUGGAAAAAAUUUGGAAGUCACCUGGCCUGGUUAUCCGCUAUUUUCAGAAGCCCAGAGAGACUGCGCCGCUGGUUCCAACUGCACACAGCGCUCCUCCUGCUCUUCCAGAAUCGAGGAAAGUUUGCUUCCCCAAGCAGGAGGACUGCAGAAGUGACCGGUGCUGAGCCAACCCCUCUCCACGCCUGCUCCCCUUUGGGCUCAGGGACCCCUGAUUCUAGGGCUGAGCCAGGGCCUGUGUGCAGAUGGAGGAGUCGUGCCUGCAAGCAGCCCCCCAGUAAGGCUCCCACACAAAAAUCUCGUCUCCGUGUCCGCCUCAAGGAACCUGAGCCCAGAUGUGACGGCCCCUGAGACAGCCAUCCAGCCGUGGGUGAGGCUCCACCUGGCGCCCACCUGAGAUUCCCCACGGUCGGACUUCCUGCCUCCUCUCUCCAUCUCCAGAGCCACCACCUGAGGCCUAGUGUCAUCUCAUGUCGGAAUCACCGAAGACUCCCAGUGGGUUCUCCCCACGCAGGGCAGCCAGAGGGUCUCCAGGAAACUCAGAGCUGACCCGGCCACUCUCUGGUGUCAAGUUCCCCCAGGCUG